UACAGAGGGGGCAAGCGUUGUUCGGAAUUACUGGGCGUAAAGGGCGCGUAGGCGGCCUGUUAAGUCGAACGUGAAAUCCCCGGGCUCAACCCGGGAACUGCGUCCGAUACUGGCAGGCUUGAAUCCGGGAGAGGGAUGCGGAAUUCCUGGUGUAGCGGUGGAAUGCGCAGAUAUCAGGAGGAACACCGGUGGCGAAGGCGGGUCUCUGGGCCGAUACUGACGCUGAGGAGCGAAAGCGUGGGGAGCGAACAGG
rnacentral:rRNA from 1 species